rnacentral:rRNA from 1 species
GUCCACGCUGUAAACGAUGAAUACUAGGUGUGGGAGGACUGACCCCUUCCGUGCCGCAGUUAACACAAUAAGUAUUCCACCUGGGGAGUACGAUCGCAAGAUUGAAACUCAAAGGAAUUGACGGGGGCCCGCACAAGCAGUGGAUUAUGUGGUUUAAUUCGACGCAACGCGAAGAACCUUACCGGGAUUUGACAUCCUACUAACGAAGUAGAGAUACAUUAGGUGCCCUUCGGGGAAAGUAGAGACAGGUGGUGCAUGGUUGUCGU